UGUGUAGAUCAAUUGUGUAACCAGCAUCCUCAGUGUCUGGAUGUAGUGAUGCCGGAUAUAGGGAACCUGACUGGCACUGAAAACCUGAUAGGACUACAAUAAUAGCAGUCCUGUGAGUUCUAUGUCUUUGAAAAGCCAUCACUGACAGAGCUGGACUUCCUCUGGGGUAUCUUUUUGGAAAGAAUCUCUUCUCUCUACCUUCCCAUCGAAUGAACUCUCUACUCCCAUGACUACAGCAUUUACCACCUACCAUGGGCAGCGAGAACUGACUGUUGAAGAGAAAAAUGUUAUAGUGAAGGUUGCAGGGAAGAAAUGGUGGCAGCAGAUAAAGCAAGAAGAAAAACAGCUUUGAUUGCCAGGGUAAAGAGUGUUAGAACUGCCAUAGGCUGCAUCAGCACAAGGCAGACCUGGGAAGCUACCAAGGGCUUAUCAUCCUGGGACGCUCAUUGAUUCUGCCUGCUCUGGGUGCAGGACUGUGCCCAGCCAGCAGCUGGUGGCCUACAGCUGGAUGGGCCCCAUCUCCUUACAGUGGCAGCAGACACAGACAUGGGCCUCUGCAGAGUGGGCAAGGGGAGGCAGUUGUGCCCCCAAAUUGAGCCAGUCCUAUUUAAUUCAAUGGGGCUUACCCCCCAAGUAAGUGGGUAUAGGAUUUCAGCCUUUGCCUCCCCCGGAUGCAUUUUAUUCUCACUUGGCCAGCAGCAAUGACAGCGUCCUAGGUGGCAGCUGCUGCCACAUUGGUUCCCCCUGCCCCACCCACAAUGCUCUCUAUAUAACAUUGCAAAUAACAUUGUGAGGGGAAGAAAAUGUACCAAGCAGCAGUUGCCAGCAAAAAUGCUAUUAUGCCGUCUUGCUGAGAAUAAAAGAAAUCUUCACCUUUCACCAGAGGAAGGGAGAACGACUGAGGUAAGAGGGAGUUCGUUUAGCUAAAGGCUCUCCUCGAACCAGGGACCAGCCUUGCUCUCAUUCGACUCAGUACUGCCCCUGUGCCAGCUGUGGCCCUGCAGCUCUGGGCACAAUUAAAUGUGCUGGGCAACCCAUGGAGAAGCAAGGUCCUCCCAUCCUACAGUCUUGUUGGAUUGCGCCCUUAAGCCAACACUACUAACUUAAGGCCAUGUUGGAAAAGUCAUAAUGUCACAAAAAGUAUCGAACAAAGAUAGGAAUGUUUACAUUUUUACUAUGAGAAGGAAAUCUCUUAUCCUAUUUUGUUGGAAGCAACAAUAUCCACAUCCAGCAACUGCCCUGUGCAUUUCUGUUGUCUUAUAAUCAUUCUCUAGGUGCUGCCUUUUGACUGAAUAAUGCUUUUCUGCUGAAUAAUACUUCUCCAUCUUCUUGCUGUUAACAUGGAUAGGAUUUUGGAUGCUAGCAAUGCAUGGAGCUGCUUAAUCUACACAACUCUGUUUGAAAUUAUUUUGUACUAAAUAAAAAUAUCAGAGAUAUUUUAGUAUGAAAGCUA